rnacentral:rRNA from 1 species
AUGACUUCCACACAGAGAAGCGAGAGCAUGAACCGCAUACUGAAGAAAUUUUUUGUCAAGGAGAAGCAUGAUCUCCAUCUGUUUGCUCAGCAGGUGGAUAAGUGCAUUCAGACCAGGAAGGCCGUCGAGCACGCAGAGACAGUAGCAAAUGAGUCAGAGGUAAAAACAACAACCAAGUUUGGGUUCGAAGUUCAGCUAUCAAAAUUGUAUACAAGGGCAGUGUUUGCAGAUUUCAAAGAAACACUCUAUCGUAGCACUGCAUUCAGAGUAGAACGGUGCCCUGAGAACCCGACAAAGUAUCUCGUACAACACUACAACAGAUCGGAUGCAUUUGACUGGGCAAGGCAUAAUUUCCAAGUGGUCACGUCGAUGAAGAGAAAGGUGUCUACGAAUGUGAGUGCAAACUCUAGACAAACACAGGGCUCUUUUGCGUCCAUGUGUUAUUCAUGCUUUCUCAUUUGA